CAGUAGCCACGGGAAUACGUAGGCAGCGAGCGUUGUUUGGAAUUACUGGGCGUAAAGAGUGUGUAGGCGGUGCUCUAAGUUCGGUGUGAAAUCUCCUGGCUUAACUGGGAGGGUGCGCCGGAAACUGGAGUGCUCGAGCGUGGGAGAGGAAAGCGGAAUUCCUGGUGUAGCGGUGAAAUGCGUAGAUAUCAGGAGGAACACCUGUGGUGUAGACGGCUUUCUGGACCAUUGCUGACGCUGAGACACGAAAGCGUGGGUAGCAAACAGGAUUAGAUACCCCAGUAGUCCCUGUCUCUUAUAC
rnacentral:rRNA from 1 species